AAGCAGUGAGAGGCGGCCCAGCGGUGCGAGAGAACGAGACACACGCACACACACAUAUAUACAGGUACAUAAGCGCACAGGCGGGCAUUUGUACACGCGGAAGGGGUGCAGUGCUUGCUGACUCUGUGUAGGUGCGCGUGCGCGCAUGUCCGUGCGGUGCGAUAGCCGCGCCUCGGGCGAACAAUCGAAAAGCACCGCACUUGAAACGGCAUCCGAGAAUAGGCGUAAGCAACAAUGUCCACGUCAUUGUUGCAUCUCAGCUCCACGCAGGCGUUGCACUCCUCCGCGACUCACAGACUCGCAGCGACAAGGGCAUCGACCGCCACGCUCCUCUGCUCCCCACAUGCCGUAAACCACCUCCCCACAACGUGCGCGAUACCCAGCCGCCCAGUCGUGCACUCGUCACAGGCAGCGAACGUGUCAGACCACCACGCGCAGCUGACCAGCGGCAGCCGCGACUGGGGUUCAGGCGGCGGUACGCUCUUCCACCCAACGCGAGCACUACGGGCUCUUACACCAGUCACCGUGGCCCACUCCGACACGUUCGGCUCCUUUCGGAACGCCAACAGAGCAGCGGCUGGGACGUGGUGGCGCAGCUCCACCGAAACGGCCUCCCGUGUGAAGGGUAGAAGGCUCGGCAGGGUGAAGGAUCCGUUUCAGGGCGUUUUUUUGCAAAUGCAAGGCUGCACAGAGGUAGAGAUGACGCGGCGAAGCCCCACUCCACCACCGGACUUCCCGCUGGACAGUCUACCCAUCUACGAGCCCCAUGACCAUAACGGGCCACCGCGCACCAAAAUCGGCUUCCACCUUCCCAUGCGCUCGCUGCCGGCAUCUCUAGCCCUCGACUUCUUCUUUCCUGGUGCAGGCCCUAACGACAGCCCGCAAGCAGCCAACGCCUCCAGCAGCAGCAGUAGGGCCCACAGCAAUGGGGGGUCUGCAAACAUUGACCUUGACGUGCGCUACGAAGAAGCCGGCAACGGUGCCGGCAGUGAGCAUCAGCAGCACACCUCGAGGCUCGACCGCGCGGCGCACGGUACGGAAGGACUCUCCGCUGCGGGCGCUGGCAGUGUCACUGGCGACACAUCCACGGCGUUCUGCCGUCUGUGUCGCGAAAGCUUCGAUAACGACGGAACACUAAGGUCACACAUUACAGUCGCAGACCGGGCGCGGCACGUCUCUCACCCGGUGCGCGAGGUGGCGCUUGAAACGCUGACACUGUUGGCCGUGCGCGGAUACCCCAUCGACAAUAUAAUGACGGUGUGGGCCGACAUCCUGUUCAACUGUCCACUGUUUCCGCGCAUUCGCAGCAUGACAGACCCGCGGUGGUCGAUCGAGAAGCGGGCUGCUCGAAUCGGCACUAUCCUGCGGGCUUUAAAGCAGGUUGGAGUGCUUGAUGUCGCCCUUGCGACGGCAGAGCCGACGGACGUGGUGGGCUCGCUCAACUCGCGCUACCGGCGACGCCGCGUCGCCUUUGAACGACUGGAGUACAUCGGCGACAACUGCUGGGGCAACAACAUUUCUAAUCGGAUCUUGUUGUUGUACCCUGAUCAGCAGUGGCUGUAUAGCGAGCGCUGCAGCACGUUCACGCUGGUGCGUGAUGCGUGCGAGAUGAACGUCAAUCUCGACUUUGUCUUCGACACACUGGAGCUGUGGCACCUCUUGUCGACCACGGCGCAUUCGCGACUAGGGAGUGGAAAGGUGAAGGCCGACCUUGUGGAAGGUAUCUUUGGGGAGCUACACCUGCACCUCUACGGUAUGGUGCCUAAGCUGCAGGAUGAUGUGGAGUACGUGGAGACGAACGGCGCUAGAGAGGUGCAGCUGGUCGCAGUCGUGGAGCACUGCCUGACAGAGCUGUACGACCUCAUCGUGCUGAAGCACGCGCGCGACCUCGUCACAUCGGCCAUACCUCUCGCGAAGGAAUUGGCGGCGAAGCGAAUAUGGGCGCGAACGCGCCCUUUUGUGCUGCCGCAGAAGCGUCCCAACACUGGCCGGGCUCGAAGCAAGACCGCGAUGAGCAACGGGGCGCCGCAUGCGUCAGCCUUUCCAUCUGCUGCUCCGACGGUCGGACGCGCUGCCACCACCGCGCGCACAGGGUCCUUUCCGGCGACACGCACCGGAGCGGCGACAGCAAAUGCGUCUGUGACUACGCUGGAGGACCUCUUCGAUGUGUCGCCUUCGUCCUUGCAGCAGCAGCAGCACGAUAUGUCCGCAUGCGGAGCGGCCAGUGGCACCAUCGAGUCGCGCGCUGACGGGCGCACGGAGGUAGCCGUGGUAAGCGACAGCGGUAAAGGUAGCAGGCAUCACACGAAAGAGCGGGCCGAAGAAGCGGCUGCAGUGGCGAGGGGGCGAGCCGGCGUGAUGCCGAUCUCUCCUUUAUUCUCCACCCCCUUAUCCCUCACGCUGUCGGCCUCCAUUGGUUUAGGUAGCACACGUGUCCUGCCGGCGUUGCCGCGUCUCUUUACCACUCCACACGUGUACCCCGAACGCGUGCCCAACCCGCUGCGCCUCCUGCCGCUCUCGGCCAUCCCAAGCAUGACCUACUGUCACCACACGCGCUCAGACGUUUUUGCGAGGAUGAAGGUGAGUUACGAGCGCCUUGGUCUGCUUCACGAAGGUUCGAGCCGCAUGCACUAUGUGGUAAGCCCUAUUCCGCCGGCGUGGGCGGUGCUGAUCGGCACACUCGUGCCGCAGCUCGUGGGAUUCGUGCCGCUGCCUGUCAAGCCGAUCGGUGACAUAAAAGGUGCAUCGGCCGAAGCGCGUCGGCUUUUGGUGGCCAUGGAUGAGGGCGGCCUGUACUGUCGGGAUGCCCUCUACAAUCUCGCAGUGUCGCCGUCCUCGCCGGCUGCCGCCUCGUCACCCCACGCAGCACCGUCGCCGAUGAGCACUGCGUGGACACUGCAGAAUGCCGGCUUGCCCUCCCUCUCUGUCACACCGAGCAAGACAAGAGAAGACGACGACGACGCUUCCUCGGGCAAAAACGGGCGCAGCGGGUGCACCUUCGCUCCCUCCCGCUACGUGCCGCCCGGUAUUCGAGCGCCGCCGGCUGGCGUGGUGACAGACCGUAACCUCUGCCGCGGCGUCUUUGCCUUUCUGGCUGUCGGUGUGGCUGACGCCGUGGCAGAGGCUGAGCAACUCACGCGCACGGACGCGGUGUCGGUCAGUGCCGCUACCCCGGCGGGCCCCACCACAGGGGUGCGGUCCUCUGGUGAGGGCCCGGCGCAGCACUCCGCAGAAGACAACUCGCCUAAAGCGUCGGCGACUGUGUGCGCGCAGCGGAUGAAGGCGGCAACGGACUACUGGCGGCGCCGCUCGCAGACCUCCCUCCAGAACUUCUCGGCCGGAUCCGGUGAGGCGUCACUGCCUCGCUAGUUUCGUUGCCCGUUUGUUUUCUUUCGUUCGAGUCUCCAACUCAACUGGUAGUAAGAAGGGGGAACCCUGUGAGAAAGUGUGUGUGUGCCUUUGAAAUCGAUGUUGCCGGAGAGAGAGACUGAGUUCGUUCGGUCUCCGUCGUCGCCUAGGCGCUGUUUGGUUGCUGUCGGCUGUCGCAGAGCUUUCCGUCGUUUUGUUUUAGGGGCGCCGCCCUCUCACUAUACCUCCAUCACCGCUCUACACCACCACUAUCUACAUGUACCCACCCACCCGCGCGCACCCCCCCCCUGGUGCUUCCCCCUCGCCACCACACCGUUUCUUCUCAUUCUUGUAAGACUGGUGUGUUGGCUGUUGGCCCCCGGGGAGGCGGUGGGGUGCGGUGAUCCUUCAGCGCACCACAACUGUAGUGGUGGUGGUAUGUGUGUGUGUGUGUGUGUGUGCGUGUGUUUUCCAUGUUGCUUAGAGCUACAGCACAGGCUGGGUGCGCUCUCCUGCUUUGAUUGUGUAGCGUUGUGUACGCCUGUGCAUGUGUGUCUUGUUCCUUUUCGUUCUACUCCGCGCGAGCAUGAGACGAAACG
rnacentral:misc_RNA from 1 species